rnacentral:rRNA from 1 species
UACGUAGGGUGCAAGCGUUAAUCGGAAUUACUGGGCGUAAAGCGUGCGCAGGGGGUUUUGUAAGUCUGUCGUGAAAGCCCCGGGCUCAACCUGGGAAUUGCGAUGGAGACUGCAAGGCUUGAAUCUGGCAGAGGGGGGUAGAAUUCCACGUGUAGCAGUGAAAUGCGUAGAGAUGUGGAGGAACACCGAUGGCGAAGGCAGCCCCCUGGGUCAAGAUUGACGCUCAUGCACGAAAGCGUGGGGAGCAAACAGG